AGAACGAACGCUGGCGGCAUGCCUAAUACAUGCAAGUCGAACGAAGGCUUCGGCCUUAGUGGCGCACGGGUGCGUAACGCGUGGGAAUCUGCCCCUUGGUUCGGAAUAACAGUUGGAAACGACUGCUAAUACCGGAUGAUGACGAAAGUCCAAAGAUUUAUCGCCAAGGGAUGAGCCCGCGUAGGAUUAGCUAGUUGGUGAGGUAAAGGCUCACCAAGGCGACGAUCCUUAGCUGGUCUGAGAGGAUGAUCAGCCACACUGGGACUGAGACACGGCCCAGACUCCUACGGGGAGGCAGCAGUAGGGAAUAUUGGACAAUGGGCGAAAGCUGAUCCAGCAAUGCCGCGUGAGUGAUGAAGGCCUUAGGGUUGUAAAGCUCUUUUACCCGAGAUGAAUAAUGACAGUAUCGGGGAGAAAGU
rnacentral:rRNA from 1 species